CUCACCUCUUGACCUAAUUUUUCUCCUUGCUUGCAAGACGGCGGCUGCGGCGAUUUUUCCGCCCAUCUCUUGACCGUUUCGACGGGCACGCCAUAGACGACACCGUUCAAGCAUUGGUCAGACUGAUUCACCAUCUGACAGGAUGGUACCUACGCCCUCACCUCAGGCAGGACCUUCACAUGACCAGUCGCAGGGAGGACCUUCACAUGGCCAGUCGUCGCCAGGACCCUCACGUGGGUCGUCCCCGGCAGGACCUUCACGUGGCCAGUUGCCGGCAAGACCUUCACAUGGCCAGUCACCGACAAGACCUUCACAUGGCCAUUCACCUUCCCCACUUGAGUUGUCGAUACCUGCCAGAUACUCAGCCGUUGAUAUUACCGACACUUGAUUGCAUAUAGUCCCUCUUGGAGACUCAUUUGAAAAUUCAGUAACUGUUGUUCGCAAGAUUAAUCAAAUUGUGAAUAACUUUUGGAGAGGAGACUCAAUGUCAUACUCAAGUACUCCAACGCCCAUAAAUGAACUAUGGUGGUGCGAGUUUAAGGGUUGGUAAGUGAAAAGAUGGUGGUAUUGACGUAAAAAUAUGUAAGUCUUUACCUAUUUAUUUUUGUGUUGGUUUAUAAGAUUUUCUUUUUGUUUGUUUAUUUGAUGUAGGUAGAAGAAGGAUUUGGAUUGAGAAAGAUCUCCAUAAGAUUAUCUUCUACUCUACCUUUUUCAUGUUUUUAUAUGAUAUUGGAAUUUGGAUACUAUGACAUGUUUCUUGUAGCUUUAUUGUAGUGUUUGGUUUAGGGUGUUAGUUGUAAUUGUAUAUUGUUGUAGUUUGUAUUGUUGGAUGAUGAUGUGUGUUGUAUUGUUAGUUUUAUGCUCUUAGUUUAGGUUGUA